UGAGGAAUAUUGGUCAAUGGGCGGGAGCCUGAACCAGCCAAGCCGCGUGACGGAAGAAGGCGCUAAGCGUCGUAAACGUCUUUUGCCGGGGAACAAAGGCGCGGACGCGUCCGCGUGUGAGUGUACCCGGAGAAAAAGCAUCGGCUAACUCCGUGCCAGCAGCCGCGGUAAUACGGAGGAUGCGAGCGUUAUCCGGAUUUAUUGGGUUUAAAGGGUGCGUAGGCGGCCCGUUAAGUCAGCGGUAAAAGCCCGGGGCUCAACCCGGCGAGCGUUGAACUGGGGCGUAGAGACGGCGAGAAGUACGCGGAAUGCGCGGUGUAGCGGUGAAAUGCAUAGAUAUCGCGCAGAACUCCGAUUGCGAAGGCAGCGUACCGGCGCCGGACUGACGCUGAGGCACGAAAGCGUGGGUAUCGAACAGGAUUAGAUACC
rnacentral:rRNA from 1 species